rnacentral:tRNA from 1 species
AAUAUUUUAUUUUAAUUUUUUAUUAAAAAUUAAAAUAAAAUAUUUUUUAAAACGUAGGUUAAAGUCCUAUAAAUCUUA